ncrna:unclassified sequences ssNA-helicase RNA
UGCCCCACGGUAAGUAUUACCGUGGGGCAGCAAGGUAGCGGUAGCA